rnacentral:rRNA from 1 species
CUGACCGUGCGAAGGUAGCGUAAUCAUUUGUCUUUUAAAUAGAGACCUGUAUGAAUGGCAUAACGAGGGUUUAACUGUCUCCUUCCCCUAGUCAAUGAAAUUGAUCUGCCCGUGCAGAAGCGGACAUAAAUACAUAAGACGAGAAGACCCUAUGGAGCUUUAGACAAAAGAUCAAACAUGUAAAGAAACCAAGUUAACCAAAAGGAACACAAAGGCCACGAAACCCGACGUAAACUGAUCCAAAUGUCUUCGGUUGGGGCGACCAUGGGGGAGAAAAAAGCCCCCACGAGGAACAGGGACUAAUCCCUAAGCCAAGAGAGACAUCUCUAAGCAACAGAAAAUCUGACCAAAAGUGACCCAGAAUACUAAUUCUGAUCAACGAACCAAGUUACCCUAGGGAUAACAGCGCAAUCCUUUCCCAGAGUCCAUAUCGACGAAAGGGUUUACGACCUCGAUGUUGGAUCAGGACAUCCUAAUGGUGCAGCCGCUAU